rnacentral:piRNA from 1 species
UCAUUAGCAUGGUGCUGCUCCCUCAUUAG